GACGAAGGGGGCUAGCGUUAAUCGGAAUUACUGGGCGUAAAGCGUGCGCAGGCGGUUUGUUAAGACAGAUGUGAAAUCCCCGGGCUUAACCUGGGAACUGCAUUUGUGACUGGCAAGCUAGAGUAUGGCAGAGGGGGGUAGAAUUCCACGUGUAGCAGUGAAAUGCGUAGAGAUGUGGAGGAAUACCGAUGGCGAAGGCAGCCCCCUGGGCCAAUACUGACGCUCAUGCACGAAAGCGUGGGGAGCAAACAGG
rnacentral:rRNA from 1 species